GUCUAAGGACCUGGCAGAAGAGAGGUGGUGGGGCAAUGCAGGUUUUUUUUUAAUCAGGGCCUUUCUUGGAAGCAAGUCACAGAAAAGGAAGAGGAAGCAGAGCCUGGAGGAACAGGGCUGUGUGCAAUGAUGAACGAGAACAAUUAAAUUACAGGAAACAAACCAACAAAUUAAACAUUUCUGAUACCGCUUGCUGACCUGUUUAAAGGUGACUGAUCAGCAGAGCAAAUCAUUCUUUACAGAGUGGCCGGCUUUUUAUCUGCAUCUUUAGCAUGCAGUCUGUGGUCUUGUCCUGGUCAGUUGGCAACCGUAAUUCCACGCCUUUUCAUUGGCCCUACAUACCAUGUAAUCAUAGUUAUGGGGAGCCCUACAGAAGGAAUAAUUAUAAAUGGAUCUUCACAGCAGUGCAACCAUGUGUGUGUGUGCACGCACACACAUGCACACACAUUCAGAGAGAAACAGAAAAUAAUGCUUUGCAAUUACAGUCCACAGCUGCUGCAGUUCCAAUAUGCUUGCUCCACACAGGUGCAGCUAUUAUGACAAUGAAUAGUACACAUUAAAGGUGCCAUCUAUAGGGGUAAUAAUACUAGGGUUGAAGAGGUAUUUUCAUUUUCAGCCUAAUGUUAGGAAGAAGAGAGAGAGAAUAAUGUAAAAUAAAAGAAAGCAAUUCACAACCAGCUUAGAAACAUUCUGGUUUCAAAGAAUUCGCAGGUAAUGAGUAUUAGGCCAGCAUGUGAAAAUCAAAGCACUAAAUGGUUUAGAGGUGAUUCCCUUUUAGCAACCAAAGGAGAAGGCAACAUCAGGAUUCAUACCAAAGAAAUGUCAUCCUGUAAAAUACCUUGGCAGAGCGCAGCCCAGGUAACACUGUAGUCAGAGUGAAUAAAUUAUUUCCACAGCUCCACCAAAGGAUAAAUGCCGUAUUUACUAGAAUGUAAUGUGCACCUUUUUUCUGCUAAAUUACAUCACGAAAAUAAGGGUGUGCAUCAGAGUCGAUGGCACAUUACAUUCAAGUAAAUAUGGUAAGUGAAGAGUCUUCAGAGCUUAAUUUUUAGCAGAGGUCAUCAGGGCUCACCAGUUUUCGAUGCCAGGGAUUAACCCUGGGGCAUUUGUUUUGUAUUACAUUUAUGUCCCAAGUUUCCUCUAACGAUCUUGGGGCAACUUACAAGGUUCUACUCCUCUUUCCUGCAUUUGAGUAAUUCGCAAUUUAUUCAUUUGUUGUCCAAACUGCCCUUCAUCAGUUAUGAUUACUGGGCCAUAUACCAUCUAGACAUCAGUACAGCAAAGCAAGAAAGACCCACCAGCAUUUUUAAACCUAUAUUAAACACAACCAUAAUUUUUUUAAAUGCAGCUGAUCUCAGCCAGAAUAAUUUUUUCUGAAAGUCCAGCUGAAGAGAUAAAUUGGGAACUGGUGCCAGAAACCAAGUAUUGAAGGUGCCAGUUGUACUUCCAAGGGAAGGAAGUUCCAUAGAUGGGGCACCAACUCAGAGGAGGCCCCAUGGGUUUCACUGUACAAGAGCCUUAACCUUAAUAAUAAUAAUAAUAAUUUUAUUUAUACCCCACCCAUCUGGCUGGGUUUCCCCAGCCACUCUGGGCAGCUCCCAACAGAAUAUUAAAAACGCGAUAAAACAUAAAAUAUUAAAAACUUCCCUAAACAGGGCUGCCUUCAGUUGUCUUCUAAAAGUCAAAUGGUUGUUUUAUUCCUUGACAUCUGAUGGGAUGUUCCACAGGGCAACAAGAAGGGUCUCCUUUGCAGACAGAUCUCCAUAUAUGAGCAGGCUGAUAUAGAAAGUAUUCCAGUAUUUGGCUUCUAAGUUGUUUAGGGCAUUAUAAGUUAACAUUAACACAUUGUAUUGGGCUCAAUAGUAUACUGUAUUUGGUAAUCUGUGCAUACCCUGCCGGUGUUGUUGAAAUCUGGCAAACUGUGGCUAAUCUUAACUAUAAUUUGUUUAAACCAAGCCAACUUCAAACCAACAAAGUAUAAAGAUGGCUUGUGUAGGAUUAAAACAACACUUCAAGGUUUGAACGUACUGUAACACUAAACUGCAGUUAAUAAAAAUCAGAAGCAAAAGUGCUGGGGGGUGGGGAGCAUGAAAGUCCAAGAUUCACACAGGGCUCAUUCCUAUUAUGAUAGGAAAAGCCAUGGUUUAGCAGGUCAUCUGAAGAGAGCCAUUUUCUCACUGAUCUUUACAGUGGUCUCAUAAAGGCAAAUCUCUACAGGAGCAAGGCUGAGGUAUAGUAGCUUGCCAAAUAGUAUCUAGUGAAUUCGUGACUGAGGGGAUGUUGUAAAUGGUAUUGCCCAUAAUAAUCUCUAAUGACUUCUGAACGUCAGAAGCCAUUUGUGAUAAUUCCCCAACUCUCCAGCCAAAAUCCAUAGCUUUUCAUAAAAUACCACUUUAUUUCAUGUAUCCGGAAGAGUUUGCCAUCUCAGAUUAUGAGCAUACUUGUCGUUAUGAGAGCUUCUAGCCCUCAUUUUAGAGAUCGGUGGUCCAGAAAUGCUAAGCAGUUUAUUAAAGUGUUCACAGGCCACCUUUCAGGAUACAUAUCCUCACUCACAAGAUCGCAUAAAAAGCAUGAAAUGAAGAACAAGCAUAAAAACAGUUAAGAUAAAAUCAAAACAGCUAUCUAAAAUACAACAAAUGUACAGCAGAUAAAGCCAUAUUGUUAUAACUCAGCUAAGCAUUACAAAAUAAUUAAAAAAUAUUUUAGGCUACAAGUAUUGGGCGGUGGAGGGGAACUGAAUAUGGAUAAUUCACCUUAUCCUCCUCCAACACUCUGUUGGGAUCUUGCAGACAGGGUAGAAAUUGGGGCAGAAGAAAAUUUUUGCUCUCCUGUCCUUUUUCCAGUGGUUUUAAAACUGUUUAUCUGUUAUCGGAUGGGAGUAGGGAGAGCUGAAACGAAACCAGCUCUAGAGUUGGUGUGAUUUAUUUUGUGGUUUGGGUGUAUGACAGGGAAUUGGGAAGGUUAUAGAUCCUUACGUUCCAUUUCUUUCCUGGUCCACUCCCUACCUCUUGGCAUUGCUAGGGUCCAGGUUGCAGAAGGUGUCACAGCACUGGGGAGGGGGAAUAUAACACUGGAUCCUCCCUGAGGUCAAAGCACCUCAGAGACAGUGUUCAGAAGCAUCCUAUGGCCCCUGGGAUACCAUCCCAGGCAGGGUCAUAGGAUAGCAGGGUCAACUAGAAAGUUUGCUGGUUGUUGCUUUUUAACACAUUCACAGAAACCAAGCGGGUGGUGGAUGAGAACACUAAAACUGACAGCAGACUAAGGCCACAUUAGAGCACUAUUGUACUACUUUAAACAAUCAUGGCUUCUCCCAAAUAAUUCUCGGAGCAGUAGUUUAAGGAUACUGAGAGUUGUAAGGAGGCCACUAUUCCCCUUGACAGUUUUCGGAGUUCUCCGUAAAGGGGGACCCAUUGUUAAACCACUCUGUAAACCAGAGCUUUCCAAACUUUUCAUGUUAGGGGCACACUUUUUAGACAUGCAUCAUUUCGCAACACAGUGAUUCAGUUUUACUAGCAAACCAGUUUAAACUAACCCCUUUCCAGCCCCGUGAGGAGCACGGGGAGCGUUUGCGUGACACACCUACACAUUGCAGCCGACACACUAACGUGUCGCGACACACGGUUUGGAAAGCUCUGCUGUAAACGGUAGUUCUGGGAGGAGAAUAGGGGACUUCUAACCGUGCUACAGCUCCCAUAAUUCUUUGGGGGAACCAGUGAUGUUUAAUGUGGUAUCAUAGCGCUUUACAUGAAAGGUAUGAAUGUGGCCUAAAAAGCAGUUCACUGCAUGCCAUUACACAUUCGCUAAAACUGUUCUCUGGAUUCACAACACACGCCAGUUUACCAGAGCUGGCAGAGCAAAAGUGCCUUAAAGGGGCCUAAAAUUGAGGGGAGGGAACAUUACACUCAAUUUGAAACACCAUAGGACGUCAGCAUAAUGAAAACAAAACUGAAUGGAUAAGCUGGCUGGUAUACGAGGAAUGGGAAAAGGCAGCUGAACUCAAGAAAAGCCACUGGAUAGAAGUAAACAGAAAGCCUGGGAAGCAACCUGGCAAUAAACAGGGUUGCCAACUGGCUAGAAAAAUGUGGGCCGCCCUGAUAACCUGCUGGUGCCUGCACACUAAGCUACAGUUAAAAACACAGCUACAGAAAAGUUGCCAACCCAGCGACAACAGGGCAGCUGUGCCACAUACAAGGUUUAGAAGGAACAGAGUUUGCAGGUUCUGUUCCUUAUUUCCAAAUGUCUUUGCACACCCUUGAACAGUAAUACAAAUGCACAGUAUAUCCCCCCAAUGGCACAUGCUGGAAUCUUUACUGUAGAGCAGCCUUCUCCAAUGCUGGGCCCUCCAGUUGUUGUACAACUCCUAUAAUUCCUGAUCAAUGACCAUGCUGACUGGUGCUGAUAGGAAUUGCAAGCAAACUAUAUCUAGAGACAGUUUAGGGCACCUUGGGCCUAGAGGCCAAUCCUUAAGUUUCCAUAGUAACUUCUCAAGGAGGUUGGAGACACAAGAAGAAUAACAAGGCCGUACCUGCUCAUUGGCCGCAUCCCCACAGACUCCUAACAACCCCACCAGUUCUGGUGGGCAUUAGCCGCCAUUGUUAAAGAGAAAAGAGGGUAUUCCUUUUUUGUCCUCUCCCUAUGUGUCAUUAUCUUGCGAAUGCAGUGGUUUUUCCCCUCCGAAUAAUUAAAUCAUAUUCACGAGGACAGCAGAUUAAUUGAAUUUAAAUUCCGAACGACUACAGAAGCAGAGAGGCAUGAGUCACUAGUCCAUUCUAAUGAGAAGAUUUAUUAAGGACCUUUCUCUGAUAGACAUAUAGAGCAGGGUUAUAAAUAUUUCAUAUUCAAUUAAUUGAAUUUUGCCCUCCGCCUGCGAUGCUGCCCUGAAACGUUAAUCCACUGGGAAAUAAAAUCUCAAACAAAGUAGGAAAAUUUGAUCAUUGCAGCAGAAAUGAUCUGCUACCUCAACCCCACCCCACCCCUGGCAGAUAACCACAGUGCCUAGGACAGAAGCCCAAGUGUCAACUGCUUCUGGAUUUCUACAGAGAUUGAAAAGAUGACUGUUCAUAAAUUGAGCCGCGGCUGUAUAAAAUGGAUGCAUAUAUAAGAUCAUAGGAGUCCUGCCUGAUCCAAAGCAGAUUUAUAGGCGCAGUUGCGAUGUUGAACAACCCUCAAUUGGUCACAUAAACCUAAGAAUCCUUGGGGUGGCUAAUGUUUGUUGGACAACAGAAAUAUUUUGGAGUACAACUCCCAUCAGCCCUGGUCACGGGCUAUGCUGCCUAUGGCUGACAGAAGCUGAAGUUCAACAAGAACUGGUAGGCCAUAUAUUUCUCCCUUCCUGCUUCCGACAUUUCAGCGUCAUGGUGAUCCUUCACAUAUGAAAUAAGGUGAUCGAGUUUAAAUGGAUUUGAUGCUUUCUAAGGGCAUGUCAACAAGACAAUGCAGCAGGUCUUACACUGUGCAAUGGAACUCAUUGCUUUUCACCAAGACAAGCCCUUCUCCGUAAUGCUUAGAGUCGAUUUGCUCUCCUCUCCCACAGACCGCCUUUAAUGCAACAUCAGAGCCUGUGUGUGUCCUCUGCCCACCGCCGCCAUGGCACUCUUCUUUGGGCCUGCCCAUAUUUACAUCCAGCUGGGUCGACAGAGCAAUGCCACAGAGACCAGCAAUCGUCGUCUCUGAGCCCGCCUCACAAACACCAUGAUGCAACAAAAAGGUAGGUUGGCCCCAGGGGCAGACUUGGUACUAUGGCGCCUUAAGCGAGGCCAAAAUUUGCCCACUAUUCCUUGUACUGUGCUGCACUUGGGGAAGAAGCUGUGAGUGCUCUAGCAGGGUCUCAAAGCACCUCCACCUCCCUCCCAAAGCUGGGCAAGUGCUAACUAGGAGAAGGAAGGACUCUAGGACCCUGUCAGAGCCCUCUUGUCUCUUUCCCAUAGCUGGGCAGGUGCUUACCCUCUCUGCUAGGCACCCAGUAGGGGGGAACUGGUUGCGCUGCCCUAAAACCGCCUCUGUUGCCACAUUUUGGGCUGGGUUCAGCUAAUGAGUCCUGCCAGCAGAAGUAAGCACAAAGCACACUAGCACAAAGGGGUUGCCGGCUGCCCUCCCACUCAGGAGGCAUAGGCAAACUCGGCCCUCCAGAUGUUUUAGGACUACAAUUCCCAUCAUCUAUGACCACUGGUCCUGUUAGCUAGGGAUGAUGGGAGUUAUAGUCCCAAAACAUCUGGAGGGUUGAGUUUGCCUAUGCCUGCCCUAAGGCUCCCACCUAAUUGGCUCAGGGUAGUUUGGAGAAACCAUAGAACAGCACACAGGGGGAAGAGAGGGCAGGAUGUGCUGGCAGAACCUCCUUAGCACCUACAAUAAGCUAACUUACGGAAGUUCACAGAAGGAAAAGCUUCCCAUCUCCUCCCCUCACCCCACACACUCCCCUAAAAAAACUUAUCUAGAAGAUCUGGGAGGGUCUCCUGAACAAUGGGGGAUGGGGUACAAGGGGGCUUCUAGAGGAGAGGUUAAUCGCCCAGAAUUUGACUGAGAAGCUGGGAAACUUUCCUUCCACCUAACUUCCUCACAUUAACCUAUUUUAUGAUCCAAGCCAUUAAGCUGAUUAUAAGCAACCGAUUAUGGUUCCAAGUUCUCAACAGGAGAAACAAAAGCAAUUCCACCCUCCAGGCAGCUGUGCUCUUUGCACUCCAUGCUCUUUGGGGAGAAUAUGUCAAGUUGCUUUCAGCCAUAUGCUUUAUUCUUUAGGAAAACAGCUACUAUUCAUUCUUCUGCAAUGUUUUAGCAAGGAUGAAGCAAGCAUUUAUCUGAAGUAGCUGCUGAGACACUGUUUUGAUCUCAUAGCAACAUCAUAAUCACUUCCCAUAAAAUAAAUCUCUAUCCACUAUCCACACACAAGGAUUUUUGGAAGAUGUCCCAGAGUGUAUUAUAAAGUUCCUUGAAAUCAUAGCAGUGGUUUCACAUCUUAAAAUAUUCUAGCAAAUAUUUCUACUUCACCAUGACUGAUCCAAGAUAAAACAAAACAUGGUGGAAUCUAAAUCUUUUUUUUUUUAAAGAAGGAGGAGGGAUGCACAUAGUUGGCCCCAAUAAAUUAAUGCAGAGUUGGGGGGGGGGGGGUUAGUAAACUUCAGAGAGUUUGGGAGUUGCCGUUAUCACAAGAGGUCCUUGAAAACUCCAGGAAUUGUAGCCAAGGAUGGGAGAGAAAUUUAGUUUGGUUUAUAUUUCAGUGUGAUCCUCCGUUAAGUCACACUUCCAAAAACAAUACACAAACCAAAAUGUACCUAUUUAUGAAAUUCACACUUCUCUGAAUAUUGUGGUGCAAUUCUCCAACAAAAAACCUGUACAAAAAAAAGUUAUGCUAGGGGAAAGUGUAUUUACAAGUCACCACCACCACUUACUGUACUUAUUAGUCACCUUCACGAGGCUUUUUUUUUCCUUUUUAAAAAAUUGCAAACGCAUGCAAAAAUACAGAGAAAAUGAAACGAAAAAUGAGGAACAGAGACAAAUGAGAACUGACAGAUUCGUCCAUUCCUAACUCAAAG